GAGUUUGAUCAUGGCUCAGAUUGAACGCUGGCGGCAGGCCUAACACAUGCAAGUCGAACGGUAACAGGAAACAGCUUGCUGUUUCGCUGACGAGUGGCGGACGGGUGAGUAAUGUCUGGGAAACUGCCUGAUGGAGGGGGAUAACUACUGGAAACGGUAGCUAAUACCGCAUAACGUCGCAAGACCAAAGAGGGGGACCCUCGGGCCUCUUGCCAUCGGAUGUGCCCAGAUGGGAUUAGCUUGUUGGUGGGGUAACGGCUCACCAAGGCGACGAUCCCUAGCUGGUCUGAGAGGAUGACCAGCCACACUGGAACCGAGACACGGUCCAGACUCCUACGGGAGGCAGCAGUGGGGAAUAUUGCACAAUGGGCGCAAGCCUGAUGCAGCCAUGCCGCGUGUAUGAAGAAGGCCUUCGGGUUGUAAAGUACUUUCAGCGGGGAGGAAGGGAGUAAAGUUAAUACCUUUGCUCAUUGACGUUACCCGCAGAAGAAGCACCGGCUAACUCCGUGCCAGCAGCCGCGGUAAUACGGAGGGUGCAAGCGUUAAUCGGAAUUACUGGGCGUAAAGCGCACGCAGGCGGUUUGUUAAGUCAGAUGUGAAAUCCCCGGGCUCAACCUGGGAACUGCAUCUGAUACUGGCAAGCUUGAGUCUCGUAGAGGGGGGUAGAAUUCCAGGUGUAGCGGUGAAAUGCGUAGAGAUCUGGAGGAAUACCGGUGGCGAAGGCGGCCCCCUGGACGAAGACUGACGCUCAGGUGCGAAAGCGUGGGGAGCAAACAGGAUUAGAUACUCUGGUAGUCCACGCCGUAAACGAUGUCGACUUGGAGGUUGUGCCCUUGAGGCGUGGCUUCCGGAGCUAACGCGUUAAGUCGACCGCCUGGGGAGUACGGCCGCAAGGUUAAAACUCAAAUGAACUGACGGGGGCCCGCACAAGCGGUGGAGCAUGUGGUUUAAUUCGAUGCAACGCGAAGAACCUUACCUGGUCUUGACAUCCACGGAAGUUUUCAGAGAUGAGAAUGUGCCUUCGGGAACCGUGAGACAGGUGCUGCAUGGCUGUCGUCAGCUCGUGUUGUGAAAUGUUGGGUUAAGUCCCGCAACGAGCGCAACCCUUAUCCUUUGUUGCCAGCGGUCCGGCCGGGAACUCAAAGGAGACUGCCAGUGAUAAACUGGAGGAAGGUGGAUGACGUCAAGUCAUCAUGGCCCUUACGACCAGGGCUACACACGUGCUACAAUGGCGCAUACAAAGAGAAGCGACCUCGCGAGAGCAAGCGGACCUCAUAAAGUGCGUCGUAGUCCGGAUUGGAGUCUGCAACUCGACUCCAUGAAGUCGGAAUCGCUAGUAAUCGUGGAUCAGAAUGCCACGGUGAAUACGUUCCCGGGCCUUGUACACACCGCCCGUCACACCAUGGGAGUGGGUUGCAAAAGAAGUAGGUAGCUUAACCUUCGGGAGGGCGCUUACCACUUUGUGAUUCAUGACUGGGGUGAAGUCGUAACAAGGUA
rnacentral:rRNA from 1 species